rnacentral:rRNA from 1 species
GAUGAACGCUGGCGGCGUGCUUAACACAUGCAAGUAGAACGGUGAAGGCGGAGCUUGCUCUGCUGGAUCAGUGGCGAACGGGUGAGUAACACGUGAGCAAUCUGCCCCUGACUCUGGGAUAAGCGCUGGAAACGGCGUCUAAUACUGGAUACGAGCUGCGAAGGCAUCUUCAGCAGCUGGAAAGAAUUUCGGUCAGGGAUGAGCUCGCGGCCUAUCAGCUUGUUGGUGAGGUAAUGGCUCACCAAGGCGUCGACGGGUAGCCGGCCUGAGAGGGUGACCGGCCACACUGGGACUGAGACACGGCCCAGACUCCUACGGGAGGCAGCAGUGGGGAAUAUUGCACAAUGGGCGAAAGCCUGAUGCAGCAACGCCGCGUGAGGGACGACGGCCUUCGGGUUGUAAACCUCUUUUAGCAGGGAAGAAGCGAAAGUGACGGUACCUGCAGAAAAAGCGCCGGCUAACUACGUG